rnacentral:rRNA from 1 species
CGGAGGAGUCCAAGCGUUAUCCGGAAUCAUUGGGUUUAAAGGGUCCGUAGGCGGUUUAUUAAGUCAGUGGUGAAAUCUGGUCGCUCAACGAUCAAACGGCCAUUGAUACUGAUAGACUUGAAUUAUUGGGAAGUAACUAGAAUAUGUAGUGUAGCGGUGAAAUGCUUAGAUAUUACAUGGAAUACCAAUUGCGAAGGCAGGUUACUACCAAUGGAUUGACGCUGAUGGACGAAAGCGUGGGGGAGCGAACAGGAUUAGAUACCCUGGUAGUCCACGCCGUAAACGAUGGAUACUAGCUGUUCGGAGCAAUCUGAGUGGCUAAGCGAAAGUGAUAAGUAUCCCACCUGGGGAUACGUUCGCAAGAUG